GAUGAACGCUGGCGGCGUGCUUAACACAUGCAAGUCGAACGAGAGAUACAGGAGGAAGUUUUCGGACGGAAUCCGGUAGAUCGAGUGGCGGACGGGUGAGUAACGCGUGGGGAACCUGCCUCAUACAGGGGGAUAACAGUUGGAAACGACUGUUAAUACCGCAUAAGACCACAGAGUCGCAUGACUCAGGGGUAAAAACUCCGGUGGUAUGAGAUGGACCCGCGUUCGAUUAGCCAGUUGGCGGGGUAACGGCCCACCAAAGCGACGAUCGAUAGCCGAUCUGAGAGGAUGACCGGCCACAUUGGGACUGAGACACGGCCCAAACUCCUACGGGAGGCAGCAGUGGGGAAUAUUGCACAAUGGGGGAAACCCUGAUGCAGCGACGCCGCGUGAGUGAAGAAGUAUUUCGGUAUGUAAAGCUCUAUCAGCAGGGAAGAAA
rnacentral:rRNA from 1 species